UGUCUGUGAAGUAAUGAGGAGGAUAUAAACCUCUGAGCAAAGCUGAGUGAGCUUUCACAACCAUGAGGUUCUCUAAAAAUGACAAAGCAGACCCUUGAGCUCAUCUGGCUCUAAGAGUGUCCUAAGCACUCACUCCAUCUCCUACUGGAUUGAUGUAAGUAUAAAACACCUUCAUGGGCAAUUCAACUGUUAGGAAAGAGGUGUAAGCCUCACACCACAGACUGCAGAGAUAGUAAUACCUGUUGUGAGAAGCUGUCUGGUAUCCAACUGCCAAAGCCUGUCUCAGGAUAUCAUUCACCAGCUGUUCUGUAGCCUACAAUGGAAGAUGCUGUUAUUCUUCAAAUGGCCAUCUGCUUGCUGGCAAGAAGGGACACAUUUAACCCCAUCCCUUACCCCAAAUGUUUGAAACCACUGCAACUAGGGAUUAAAAAGUCCUUAAGAAAAAAUUAAAGGCCUCAAUAAUAGACCAUAAUGAUAAAGGCCAUGAUUCUGAGAAAUUAUGAAUUGGAGUGAUUUUCAUUAAUCAGACAUUAUUCUAUUUAUUUAUUUAUUUUGAGAUGGAGUCUCACUCUCGCGCCCAGGCUGGAGCGCAGUGGCGCGAUCUUGGCUCAGUGCAACCUCCGCCUCCCGGGUUCAAGCGAUUCUCCUGCCUCAGCCUCCCAAGUAGCUGGGAUUACCAGUCCUUGCCCCUUACUCCAAACCGCCUGGGAUGCAACCAUCCUUCCUGGCUGGCGGCCCCUGCAGGCACCCACCUUCAGGAUCAUGUCCUCCACCACGGACGCAUACACGUUCCUGUGGAGUGCCACGGGCUGCAGGGUGAUCCCAAUCUGGAAAAGCAGAAGAAAGCCGUUUGUUCGUAUCGCUGCUUUAGAAACAGCCUCUCUCCAAACAAGCAUACCUCCCUGACAUGCAAAGCGAUGCCUGGUUGGAAGGAGGACUCUGCAAACAU
ensembl:lncRNA YEATS2-AS1 YEATS2 antisense RNA 1